GUCUAUGGCCAUACCAUCCAAAAGGUGCCUGAUUGUGUCUGAUCUCAGAAGUUAAGCAGGGUCAGGCCUGGUUAGUACUUAGAUGGGGGGAAGUGCGCUGGGAAUGAAUGAAA
rnacentral:rRNA from 1 species